rnacentral:rRNA from 1 species
AUGGAGAGUGCAGCAAAGUCCAUUGCCAGCAAGGUUGGUCAGGUGCUGGUUGAUGAGCUCCAGGACAUCCGCGGCGUUGGCAACAAGGUCGUCCACCUGCGGGACGAGCUGGCUACCAUGAACGCCGCACUCCGCAUCAUCUCCGAGGCCGACCAGGACAAAGUCGACCAUCUCGUCCGAGAGUGGGAGAAGCAGGUGCACGACCUUGCCUACGACGCCGAAGACUGCACCGACACCUACUCGCUCCGCAUCAUCCGGCCCUCCCCACCACCGCCGGAUGACUUCGCUGGCAACAAGCUCAUCUUCUCCUGGGCCGGGUACCUGCUCGGCCGCGCCAAGCGCGUUGCCCGGUAUCCGUAUGAGAAGCUCGUGCUGCAGCGCACCCUCGCCGCUGACAUCAAGGACCUCUUGGCACGUACCACCACCAUCAGCGAACGCCGCGUUCGAUACGGCAUCGACCGGGCGGAGCUUCCAAGAGCCGCCAGCUUCAUCCCUGUCUCGGCGUCAUCAAUCUCCGCGAGUGCCCUCCGCCGUGCCCACAACCCUGAUCAGUUUGUCGGCAUCACGGAUCAGGUCAGCGCCCUGGCUGUCAAGAUCAAGGCGGCGGACCAGGAUGAGGAUGACAAGAGUCUCAAGGUGUUCUCCAUUGUGGGGUUCGGAGGGCUGGGGAAGACAACCCUGGCCAUGGAGGUGUGCCGGCAGCUGGACAAAGAGUUUCCCCGCCAGGCGAUGGUAUCCGUGUCACAAGCGUUUGCUGGAGAGAAGGACGUCAAGGGACUGCUGGUACGAGUGCUGCAGCAGAUCCUCAAGGAGAAACAACCAAAUGGUAAGCAAACAAUCACGGAAGGGGAGGCCAUGGGUACAAGUACAACCCAAGGCAACCAACUUCAUGUUGACCGGAUGGAUGUGGAUGACCUGUCCAAGAAGAUCAAGGAGCUCCUCAAGCAGACGAGGUGUCUCAUUGUGGUCGAUGAUGUAUGGAGCCUAUCAUCCUGGGAAGCUAUCCGUGGUAGAUUGGCAGAAAACAAUUGUGGCAGCAGAAUCAUUUUGACAACCCGGAUAGACGAGGUGGCCAAGGCAGCUAGUGUCUCAGAGUACUUUGUCCAUCAUAUGAAGACCUUGGAACUCGAAGCCUCUCAGAAGCUGUUUGUGCAGAGAGUAUUUGGCUCCACAGAUUGCCCCUCAGAACUUAAAGUUUUCAUGGACACAAUUUUGAAAAGAUGUGCGGGAUUGCCAUUGGCCAUCGUUAGCAUCGCCAGCCUUUUCGGAAGCUAUAGGUCGGCUGAGGGUAUAGAGAUGUGGGAAAGAGUUUCUAGAUCAAUUGGUUCUCAGCUGGAGAACCACCCUAAUCUCGAGGGGAUGAGGCGGUUGCUUGCACUUAGCUAUGACUACUUGCCUCAUCAUCUCAAGGCUUGUAUGUUGUAUCUCAGCAUUUUCCCAGAGGAUUAUGUGAUUGCCAAGGAUAGGUUGCUAUAUAGAUGGAUUGCUGAAGGUUUGGUCACCGAGAAGCGGGGGUUGACUUUGUUGGAGGUUGCGGAAGAAUACUUCAAUGAGCUGAUAAGUAGGAAUAUGAUUCAACUAGACAAGUGUUUGCACAUGGAUUUCGGUUUGGGAGAAGUGGAGGUAGAAGGCUGCCGAGUGCAUGAUAUGAUCCUUGAGGUCAUGGUGUCCAAAUCCCAAGAGUCUAACUUUGUUUGCUUGGUAGGGCGGCAACACGGAGGGAUGUCACAUAGUCGUGGCAAGAUUCGUCGCCUCUCCAUCCAUGAUAACAAUCAUGACAAGAAGCAUCAUGCAAGGCAUGUCAUUGAGGCGAUGAAGCUACAACAUGUCCGGUCCCUGACCAUGUUUCAGUCUGAUGGCCUCGGCAAGCUACUAGAUAGUCUAGGUGAGUUCAAAUUGCUCAGGGUACUUGACCUGAACGAUUGUCGGGCCUUGCAAAACAAGCACAUGAGAGAUGUCUGCCGAUUGUAUCUUCUCAGGUUUUUGAGCUUGAGGGGUACGCGCAUCUCAGUGAUGCCUCGCAAAGUUGGUAAUCUAGAGCACUUGGAAACUCUUGAUAUAAAAAACACGGGCAUCGGAGUGGGACUGCCACGAACUGUGGCUAAGCUGAGCAAACUAGAGUGCCUCAGGUGCAGUACAUGGCUUCUGCCACGGGGGCUAGGGAACAUGAAGUCAUUGCGCAUCUUGGACACGGGAAUCCUCGAUGGCCACAAUGUUCAAUUAGUUACCCAAGAGAUCGGCAAGAUGGCACAACUGCAGGAAAUACGUAUCAUAAUCGAGAGCAAUUUCCAAACGGGUGAGUUCAUACAGGAGUCUUUGCCUAUGCUUUCCACGUCCCUGAGCAAGACAAGCAUUCUGCGAUCGCUCCACCUGGAAUGGAAUCCUUCACCAACGGAGAGUGCGAUCAAUUUUGAGUUUCUCCACGGCGUGAACCCACCGCCACCACUACUCCAACGCCUUAGUUUGAUUGGGCGCAUUAUCCAACUUCCUGCCUGGAUCUCAUUACUCACACACCUCACAAAGUUUGAAGUUGGAUGGUCACAACUUGCCGGCGACCAGUUAUUUGGUGUCUUGUGUAAGUUGCCCAACCUGCAGACCAUCCAACUGGGGGAAUAUAGCUACGUGGGCCCAAAACUUGUUGCGCAUGAGGACCAUAGCUUCCCGGUGCUGAAGAUCCUGAAGGUUUCACUAUGUCCUACCAUGAUCAUCUUCGAGGAAGGAUCAAUGAAAAAGCUCGAGACACUUGCAUUCGUGGUUGAUGACAUGAAUAUGAAUGUUCUCGGUCUCGAGAACUUGGAGAACCUUAAAGAGGUUAAAAUCCGUGGUAAGGAUGACAACCAGGCAAUGAAACAUGCAGUGGUACAGCUCAAGACUCUCUCUGAGUCCAAACCGAUCAAAGUUGUAGUGGACGAACUUUCAUAUGUCCCUAGUUUUUGA